CGUUGAGGCGGCUUUGUAAGUUGGACGUGAAAGCUCCUGGCUCAACUGGGAGAUGUCGUUCAAUACUGCAGAACUUGAGGACAGCAGAGGGGGUGGAAUUCCCGGUGUAGUGGUGAAAUGCGUAGAUAUCGGGAGGAACACCAGUGGCGAAGGCGGCCCCUGGGCUGCUCCUGACGCUGAAGGCGAAAGCUAGGGGAGCGAACG
rnacentral:rRNA from 1 species